rnacentral:rRNA from 1 species
AGAUUGAACGCUGGCGGCAUGCCUUACACAUGCAAGUCGAACGGCAGCACGGGAGCAAUCCUGGUGGCGAGUGGCGAACGGGUGAGUAAUACAUCGGAACGUGCCCAAUCGUGGGGGAUAACGCAGCGAAAGCUGUGCUAAUACCGCAUAAGAUCUACGGAUGAAAGCAGGGGAUCGCAAGACCUUGCGCGAAUGGAGCGGCCGAUGGCAGAUUAGGUAGUUGGUGAGGUAAAGGCUCACCAAGCCUUCGAUCUGUAGCUGGUCUGAGAGGACGACCAGCCACACUGGGACUGAGACACGGCCCAGACUCCGUACGGGAGGCAGCGAGGUCGGGGAAUUUUGGAC